ACAUCGUUCCCCUCCCUUUCAUUCGUCUUACAUUGGUCCCUACGUGGUGGGUCCCUUGCGUUCUCGCGGGUUUGGUUUCUAGGUCUGUGACUGAGUGGCGGUCCUUUCGGUCUGAGAUGUGUAUUUCCCAGUUUCGUUUGCUUUGUGUGUAACGUCAUAAGUAAUUUUUUGUUCACUCUAAUGUAAAUUUGUGGUUCGUGGCUGCAUCUGUAUGUAGGGGUCGGUAGUGUGCCCUGGGGUGGGUGUGUGUUCUUGUGUUAGGGGGAGAGC